UACGUAGGGCGCAAGCGUUGUCCGGAAUUAUUGGGCGUAAAGAGCUCGUAGGCGGACUGUCACGUCUGCUGUGAAAAGCUGGGGCUUAACCCUGGCCUUGCAGUGGAUACGGGCAGACUAGAGGUAGGUAGGGGAGAAUGGAAUUCCCGGUGUAGCGGUGGAAUGCGCAGAUAUCAGGAGGAACACCGGUGGCGAAGGCGGCUAUCUGGACCGUAACUGACGCUGAGGCGCGAAAGCGUGGGGAGCAAACAGG
rnacentral:rRNA from 1 species